rnacentral:rRNA from 1 species
UACAGAAGUCUCAAGCGUUGUUCGGAUUCAUUGGGCGUAAAGGGUGCGUAGGCGGCGCGGUAAGUCGGGUGUGAAAUCUUGGAGCUUAACUCCGAAACUGCAUUCGAUACUGCCGUGCUUGAGGACUGGAGAGGAGACUGGAAUUUACGGUGUAGCGGUGAAAUGCGUAGAUAUCGGAAGGAACGCCGGUGGCGAAAGCGGCGUGCUGGACCUCUUCUGACGCUGAGGCGCGAAAGCCAGGGGAGCGAACGGG